UGGGCACAAUGUGUGGUCAUUAUGUCUGCCACAUCAAGAAGGACCAACAGUGGGUAAUCUUUAACGAUCAGAAAGUUUGUGCCUCUGAGAAACCACCUAAGGACCUGGGCUACCUGUACUUCUACAGAAGAGUAGUGGAAUAGAAUAGAGUAAACUAGAAUAGCAUUUUUCUCUCUCUCACACACACGCACACUUCUGUAUCUGAUCUACUGGAACAGAAGGCCCAGACUCCUGCUUCUGAACUGAUGCACCAUUUAAUAAGUCAAAGCACUUCUCCAUCAAAUAUAUUCACUACCACGAGAAACCAGUUGUAAUGAUGGAAAAAAAAAAGAUGUAAGAUGUGCGGAUUAGUGUGUUCUUACUCGAAACGCCCAUAUUGUACAACGCCUUACCACACACACUAGUCUCCUUCGUGCCUCCCCCAUUGGAUAGUGGCUAUUGUGACUUCAUCGCUUUUAGAGCUAAGCUCCACCUUCCUGCCCUUUGUGUUCCAGAAUGUUUCUGCAAAUGUUUAAUGGCAAGUAAAUAUCAUUAAAUCACACACA